UACAGAGGGUGCAAGCGUUGUUCGGAAUUAUUGGGCGUAAAGGGCGUGUAGGCGGUUUGGAAAGUCUUCUGUGAAAUCUACGGGCUUAGCCUGUAACGUGCAGAGGAAACUUCCAGGCUUGAGUGUCGGAGAGGAUAGGGGAAUUCCCGGUGUAGAGGUGAAAUUCGUAGAGAUCGGGAGGAACACCAGUGGCGAAGGCGCCUAUCUGGCUGACAACUGACUCUGAGACUCGAAAGCAUGGGGAGCAAACAGG
rnacentral:rRNA from 1 species